rnacentral:rRNA from 1 species
UACGAAGGGUGCUAGCGUUGUUCGGAAUUACUGGGCGUAAAGCGCGCGUAGGUGGUUUAGUAAGUUGGAAGUGAAAUCCCUGAGCUUAACUUAGGAAUUGCUUUCAAAACUACUAAGCUGGAGUAUGGUAGGGGAUAGCGGAAUUCCUAGUGUAGAGGUGAAAUUCGUAGAUAUUAGGAGGAACACCAGAGGCGAAAGCGGCUAUCUGGGCCAUUACUGACACUAAGGCGCGAAAGCGUGGGGAGCAAACAGG